GUUGAACGCUGGCGGCAGGCCUAACACAUGCAAGUCGAGCGGAUGAAGGGAGCUUGCUCCUGGAUUCAGCGGCGGACGGGUGAGUAAUGCCUAGGAAUCUGCCUGGUAGUGGGGGAUAACGUCCGGAAACGGGCGCUAAUACCGCAUACGUCCUGAGGGAGAAAGUGGGGGAUCUUCGGACCUCACGCUAUCAGAUGAGCCUAGGUCGGAUUAGCUAGUUGGUGGGGUAGAGGCCUACCAAGGCGACGAUCCGUAACUGGUCUGAGAGGAUGAUCAGUCACACUGGAACUGAGACACGGUCCAGACUCCUACGGGAGGCAGCAGUGGGGAAUAUUGGACAAUGGGCGAAAGCCUGAUCCAGCCAUGCCGCGUGUGUGAAGAAGGUCUUCGGAUUGUAAAGCACUUUAAGUUGGGAGGAAGGGCAGUAAGUUAAUACCUUGCUGUUUUGACGUUACCAACAGAAUAAGCACCGGCUAACUUCGUG
rnacentral:rRNA from 1 species